GUUGGAGGUGAACGUCCCUGGAGUUCCUUUAAGGAAUAAACACCCGCACCAAGUCCCAAAGUAAUCAGUCACUAGACCUUUGGGACUUGGAACAGACCCAGGAGAACCCAGAAACUCUGGAGCACCAAGUGAACUCCCUCGAGGAAGACACAGGAGGCAAAGGUCUGAGAGUUGCAGGGGCGCACUGGGAACCCAGGACUGGAGGCCGGGAUUAGGUCCCAGGUUGAAAGGUCCUAACUGAUGACUGUAAGAAGGAAGACCUUGGACUGGAGAGGCACUGUGAGGCGGGGUCCCAGGUUGGAGGCACGCAUUAGAACAGGGUCGAGGGACGGAAGGGUUCUGUGAGUCGGGGUCCCGGGACAGAGGGGGCGUUUGGAACCAGCUCCUGGACUGAAGGAGCAUGUUUGGGGUUCCCAGAACUAAAGGCGCGCGGCAGGGGAGCGAUCUCAGACUGGAAGAGUAAGACAGGAACGCCUGACGGCACCCGGACCUCGGUGAACUGCAGGGACGCGGGAGAGAGGGGUGGCCGCUCGACCUGGGGUGACCACAGGAAGAGAGGCACAGCCACGGAUCCCAGGGUCCCCACGCCUCGUGGCCGCCCCCUCCCCGCGCCCUGGCCCGCGCGCGCUCCCAGACCCUACCUGUCCUCGCUAGCGGUGAUCACGCCGUCCUCCUUGGGGAUGAGCAGCGCCGCCGUGACGGCGUCCUGGUGGCCCUCGAUCUUGCUCAGCAGCACCGGGCGGCUGCUCUGCGGCCUGGAGUGGAUCUCGGCCGCCAUGUUCGCGCCGCGGCCUCCCCCGCGGGCGGCCCAUCAGCUGACCGCCGGGCGGGGACGCGCCGGUUGCUUGGGGAAACCGGGCCGCGUGUGCGCCACGCUGCUGUAAGCUCGCGAGCACCGCCGCAGCACCCCGUAAUGCCUAGAAAAGCCGCGCAGAGAUAGUUCUGUGACCUGGGAGACAACUCCAGAAAAGCCAGGACCAUGAGGAAGAUUAAAAAGCCAAACCAUGCCGGGUGGUGGCGAUGCACGCCUUUCAUCCCAGCACUCGGGAAGCAGAGGCAGGCGGAUCUCUGUAAGUUCGAGACCAGCCUGGUCUACAGAGUGAGUUCCAGGGCAGCCACAGAGAAACCCUGUUUCAAAAAAACAAACAAACAAACAAAAAUUGCUACUGAUCUGAGCAGUAGCAGAGCAUAGGCACCUGCCCUUCAAACAAUACUACAGGGCAUCCAGUGGAAGAAUACUUACUUAGCAUGUACAAGGACCUGAGUGUUGGGUGGCAGUUUCCUCUGAGGUUAAGAGUGUCCAUCUGCAAGGGAUUUUCGGUAAGAUGGGGGAUGUUUACAGGGAAAUAAAACAGGGUGUCCUAACGGGAGAGGAAAAAUGGCAGCCAUCAGGGAAGCUCGCUGAGCUCAAGAAGUGAACAACUCAAAGUAGCUUGAGGAAGUCCCUGAAACUGACCAGCUUCUCUAGGCUCCUCUCUUCUUCCCUUCCUAAGCAUAAAGAAGCCGUAAAAACGAGGGACACACUUGGAUAAGCCAAGCUACCUAGAAGACUCUCAGAUAAACUGACCUGCCUGGAAGGAGCAGAGCUGUGAGAAGAAAUAGAAAUCAGCCAGCACAGUACCUGGAAGAUACACAGACCAGCCAGCCAAUUCCUGUCAACUAACCUACCUAAAAAGGGCACUCUCCACCUGCAGAACUGCCUGCAGCCUGUGUAGUGCAAUCCAGGUUUCCAGCUUUCAUGAGUUGUCACCAUGCUCAAGUAAGCUUUGGGUGACACAACUGUCCUUUUAGUCAUUUCUGCUCCUGGAAAUAGCCCCUUACCCAUAUUCCCUUGUAAGUAACCACAAUAAAACUCAUUCGUUCACCAUA